GUAAUGGCAGGUCAGCAUACUGCCGUGAAUACGUUCCCGGGCCUUGUACACACCGCCCGUCACACCGUGAGAGUUGGGAAUACCCGAAGCCUGUGAGCUAACAUUAAGAGGCAGCAGUCGAAGGUAGAAUCAAUGAUUGGGGUGAAGUCGUAACAAGGUAGC
rnacentral:rRNA from 1 species